rnacentral:rRNA from 1 species
UACAACGAAGAGUUUGAUCCUGGCUCAGGAUGAACGCUAGCGGCAGGCUUAACACAUGCAAGUCGAGGGGUAA